rnacentral:rRNA from 1 species
AUGCAAGUCGAACGAUGAAGCCCAGCUUGCUGGGUGGAUUAGUGGCGAACGGGUGAGUAACACGUGAGUAACCUGCCCUUAACUCUGGGAUAAGCCUGGGAAACUGGGUCUAAUACCGGAUAGGAGCGCCUACCGCAUGGUGGGUGUUGGAAAGAUUUAUCGGUUUUGGAUGGACUCGCGGCCUAUCAGCUUGUUGGUGAGGUAAUGGCUCACCAAGGCGACGACGGGUAGCCGGCCUGAGAGGGUGACCGGCCACACUGGGACUGAGACACGGCCCAGACUCCUACGGGAGGCAGCAGUGGGGAAUAUUGCACAAUGGGCGCAAGCCUGAUGCAGCGACGCCGCGUGAGGGAUGACGGCCUUCGGGUUGUAAACCUCUUUCAGUAGGGAAGAAGCGAAAGUGACGGUACCUGCAGAAGAAGCACCGGCUAACUACGUGCCAGCAGCCGCGGUAAUACGUAGGGUGCGAGCGUUAUCCGGAAUUAUUGGGCGUAAAGAGCUCGUAGGCGGUUUGUCGCGUCUGUCGUGAAAGUCCGGGGCUUAACCCCGGAUCUGCGGUGGGUACGGGCAGACUAGAGUGCAGUAGGGGAGACUGGAAUUCCUGGUGUAGCGGUGGAAUGCGCAGAUAUCAGGAGGAACACCGAUGGCGAAGGCAGGUCUCUGGGCUGUAACUGACGCUGAGGAGCGAAAGCAUGGGGAGCGAACAGGAUUAGAUACCCUGGUAGUCCAUGCCGUAAACGUUGGGCACUAGGUGUGGGGACCAUUCCACGGUUUCCGCGCCGCAGCUAACGCAUUAAGUGCCCCGCCUGGGGAGUACGGCCGCAAGGCUAAAACUCAAAGGAAUUGACGGGGGCCCGCACAAGCGGCGGAGCAUGCGGAUUAAUUCGAUGCAACGCGAAGAACCUUACCAAGGCUUGACAUGUUCUCGAUCGCCGUAGAGAUACGGUUUCCCCUUUGGGGCGGGUUCACAGGUGGUGCAUGGUUGUCGUCAGCUCGUGUCGUGAGAUGUUGGGUUAAGUCCCGCAACGAGCGCAACCCUCGUUCCAUGUUGCCAGCACGUAGUGGUGGGGACUCAUGGGAGACUGCCGGGGUCAACUCGGAAGGAAGGUGAGGACGACGUCAAAUCAUCAUGCCCCUUAUGUCUUGGGCUUCACGCAUGCUACAAUGGCCGGU